rnacentral:rRNA from 1 species
UACGUAGGGACCGAGCGUUGUCCGGAUUCAUUGGGCGUAAAGAGCUCGUAGGCGGCCACUCAAGUCGAAUGUGAAACCUCGAGGCUUAACCUCGAGCCUGCAUUUGAUACUGGGCGGCUAGAGUCUGGUAGGGGGAUCUGGAAUUCCUGGUGUAGCGGUGGAAUGCGCAGAUAUCAGGAGGAACACCGGUGGCGAAGGCGGGAUCCUGGGCCAGUACUGACACUGAGGCACGAAAGCGUGGGGAUCAAACAGG